GGCCCAAUGGUCUAGUAGUAUGAUUCGCGCUUCGGGACUUAUCUAGUUUGCGCGAGGUCCCGGGUUCAAUUCCCGGUUGGGCCC
rnacentral:tRNA from 1 species